AUUUUGAAGGGAGUUAUGCGCCUUUAAAGCUGGAUAUGAGAGAGUGAGAGAUGGCAGAGAAAGAGACAGUCGUUUUCUCUGCCGUCUCUCACUCUCUCAUCUUCAACUUUGAAGGCGCACAACUCCCUUCAGAAU
rnacentral:sRNA from 13 species